GCUUGUAUAGCCUAGUGGUUACAAGAGACUCAGUAGCACCUCAGGUCCUGGGUUCGACUCGCCGUGUGAGCA